CCUACGGGAGGCAGCAGUCGAGAAUCAUUCACAAUGGGGGAAACCCUGAUGGUGCGACGCCGCGUGGGGGAAUGAAGGUCUUCGGAUUGUAAACCCCUGUCAUGUGGGAGCAAAUUAAAAAGAUAGUACCACAAGAGGAAGAGACGGCUAACUCUGUGCCAGCAGCCGCGGUAAUACAGAGGUCUCAAGCGUUGUUCGGAAUCACUGGGCGUAAGGCGUGCGUAGGCUGUUUCGUAAGUCGUGUGUGAAAGGCGCGGGCUCAACCCGCGGACGGCACAUGAUACUGCGAGACUAGAGUAAUGGAGGGGGAACCGGAAUUCUCGGUGUAGCAGUGAAAUGCGUAGAUAGCGAGAGGAACACUCGUGGCGAAGGCGGGUUCCUGGACAUUAACUGACGCUGAGGCACGAAGGCCAGGGGAGCGAAAGGGAUUAGAUACCCUUGUAGUC
rnacentral:rRNA from 1 species